GUAUUACUCUCUCCGUUUCAUAAUUCUUGUCGAAAUAUUACAUGUAUCUAGACACUUUUUAGGAAUAGAUAUAUCCAUUUUUUAGCAAAUUUGAGACAAGAAUUAUGGAACGGAAGGAGUAGAAU
rnacentral:pre_miRNA from 1 species